ACGCCCUUGCAGACUCUCGCACAUUGAUGCACAUCCUUGCCAAUCAUUGCACACCUUUGCCCACCAUUGCAUACCCUUGCACACCUUUGCACAUCCUUGCAAACCCUUACUCACCUUUGCACACCAUUACACACUGCUGUCUGCCCUCACCCAUCCUUGCACACCUUUUCACAUCCUUGCACAAACCCCUACUCACCUUUGCACACCAUUGCACACCAUUGUCUGCCCUCACACAUCCUUGCACACCUUCGCACCUCCUUGCAAAUCACACACCCUUGCACACCUUUGCACAUCCUUGCACAAACCCCUACUCACCUUUGCACACCAUUGCACACCAUUGUCUGCCCUCACGCAUCCUUGCACACCAUUGCAUACCCUUGCACACCUUUGCACAUCCUUGCAAACCCCUACUCUCCUUUGCACACCAUUGCACACCGUUGUCUACCCUCACACAUCCUUGCAUACCUUCGCACCUCCUUGCAAAUCACACACCCUUGCACACCUUUGCACAUCCUUGCACAAACCCCUACUCACCCCUGCACACCAUUGCACACCACUGCACACCGUUGUCUGCCCUCACACAUCCUUGCACACCCUUUCACCUCCUUGCACAUCACACACCCUUGCACACCUUUGCACAUCCUUGCAAACCCCUACUCACCUUUGCACACCAUUGCACACCAUUGUCUGCCCUCACACAUCCUUGCACACCUUUGCACCUCCUUGCAAAUCACACACCCUUGCACACCUUUGCACAUCCUUGCACACCUUUGCACAUCCUUGCAAACCCCUGCUCACCUUUGCACACCACUGCACACCGUUGUCUGCCCUCACACAUCCUUGCAUACCUUCUCACCUCCUUGCAAAUCACACACCCUUGCACACCUUUGCACGUCCUUGCAGACCAUUGCACGUCACCGCCCGCCCUUGCACACACAGCAGCACGCCAAGGGCCGGUGUCUCUGUGCAACGCACACACGGCGUGGCUGCGCACAGAUGCAGUGCACCCCGGGGAAUCCACUGCCAAAGAGGCGGAAUUGGACGGCCGUGGUGGGAGCUGCCCCUCUGCAAAGACGCACCGCCAACGCUUUGCACACCCAGCAGCGGAUUUCGGGGCGCACAGCGGUGCGUUUUGGCCUCACUGCUGGCCCAGCCCGGCCCGGCCCUUUGCUUUUGCUGUUAUCCCACGUGGAACCCCCCCCAGGAGCCGCUCACCCCCAGCAUUUCGGACAUCCCCACCCCCAAACCCUCCCCUCCAAGCUGAAGUCUCUCCCUGCACCACCGCAUCCCCAACAGCAGCGCCGCAGAACAAAGCGCCAUAAAUAAACCAACACCCCCCGUUUCCCCCCCCCCUUUUUUUUUUGCCCUGCGUUUUUUCAUCACCCCAACCCCCCCCCCACCCCAUAACCCCCCCCUCCUCCUCCCCCCCCCCCCCAUCUCCAUGCAUUAACAUGCGAGGCGCCCGCUGACCUUUCUUUGCACUGCGUGUUGGGGAGGAGCGCAGCGCAGCGCGGGCUGCGGGCGGAGGGGACGGCGAUGCAGCUUCUAAUUUUGCCAUUACUGUCACAGGGGCCAUUUGUCACCCAGCCCGGGGAGACUCCACACAUGGACAGACAGCAGCCCUUCCAGUGCUCCUCGUUGAGAUCGGGGUGGGGGGGGGGGGGGCUUUACCAGCGUGGGAAGGGUGGGGAGUGGGUUUCAAUUGUCGCGCUGAGCCAAAAAGGGGAGAAAAGACCCCAAAAGGCCGCCGACAGCCACCCACCACCAUGCAGUCCAAUGGCAUUUUGGGGGUAAAGCAAGAUGGAUGGCGCAUCCCUGGGUGUCCCCCCCCCCCCCUUCCUCGCUGCGUGCCCCCAUCUGUAGAGCAGAAGCGAUCGCCCUCCAUCCAGAUAUUAAUUCUCCUAUUAGAUUAAAUAACGUGAAGGGUUGUGCUGCUUUCAUUACGCGUCGUGGGCGAGCGAGCUGCCUGCAGCCUCUGCCUCCUCCUCGCCUCCCGCCAGCAGAGCACUAAUUAGCAACAGGCAGGAGAGAUGCUCGUCUGCCUCCCGCCCUUUAUUAAUUGCUGUGAGUAAUAAAUAGACUUCUGGGGCUCGGGGCGGUGGGAGCUGCGGCCCCUCAUCGCCUGGGGGUCCAGGAUGGUGAGAGGAGGUGAUGGGGAACCUCGUGUUUUGGGGGAGAAUAGUCCCAAAUGGGGGGGGUGAAGGUGUCCUAUUGGUGAGGGUGGGGUCGGUGGGAGGGGGUGGGAGGGGGUGGGAGGCCCCGACCCAGCAGUGCCAAUGGGGGAUGCUCUGGGGGGGCAACAUGGGAACCUCAGUGCAUCCCUGGGAAAGGCCAUUGGGGCACAAAUCCAUCCCUGGGGGUCAGAUCUGGUGCUGCGUGGGGCACAAACCCACCCCUGGGGUCAGACCUGGUGCUAUAUGGGGCACAAAUCCGUCCCUGGGGGUCAGACCUGGUGCUAUAUGGGGCACAAACCCACCCCUGGGGUCAGACCCGGUGCCCUUUGAGGGUCCCAUCCGACCCAAUUGGUUCUGCCCUCUUCUCUCUGCCCAUCCCGACUCCCUCUGGAGUCAAUGGAGAGGACUGGCACGGAUCCCCCGUUGGUGGGAACCCCCCCAAACACCCCGACCCCUUCCCGUGGUUUAACACUCAUCUCAUCCCAUCUGGAAGGACACUGCUUAAAAGCACAUCUCGAGGGCUCAUUAAGCAGCAUCUCCUUUCCGGGCCGCGCUCAUCUCUCCAUCCUUCACCACCACGAGAUUGAUUUAAAACCCCGAGCUCCGCGCCCUGCAUCCUUCCUACAGGAGCCACGCUGCUCGUUAGGUUAAUUGCUUUUGCUCGCUCUGCUGGCAAUCCCAGACAGGCAGCUCACAGCCCCAGCCCUGCAUGGGGGAGCUCAGCCCCGCCGGUGGAUCAGUGGAUUUCACACUGAACUCGAGGAGAGCUCAACUAUUUUCCACCCUUUUCCUCCCCAGGGUUCGCUUUCGGCGCCGUGCAGCUUUGCUUCACCUCUGCUCGCUUUUUGGCCGCUCCCUCACAGCAGGGAUUUGCUGCUGCUGCUCACACCCAUUGGCUUUCAUCACCAAAAAGGCCCAAAUACCCCCCUGGGCAUUUCCCUCGUGGCGGAGAACAGCGGUGCCACCCGACGCGACGCAGCCCCAAACCAGGGGGCUUUUGACGGCCUUUUGGCACUCUCCAACCCACCUAUUUCAGGAGGGCACCCACUGCAAGCUCAGCUCUUCGGGCUUUAAGCCCAACUGGCGGCACUCAGCUCCUUUCAACACCGCACCUCUACUUUGCAGCGCCGCCGGAGCUCUGCAGCGCCCGCACGGCCGUCGGCCCUCUCUGCAAACGAAGGCUGCGCCGGGCCGCGGGACGCCGUGCGUUUAAAUCCGAGCGCACCUUUCCCUUCUCCUCCCAUCCCUGCCGUCUCUCAGCACCUCUCCCUGCCCGUCCUCCCCCCGCAGCCGGGAAGCGCGGCGCUGCAUCCCGUAAGCCGGGGAUGUGCGGGGAGUCGCUCCCUCGGAGGGCGAUGCUCUUCCCGACCCGGUUCGGCUCAGCAACCUGCGGGAAGGAGAGAUGGAUUCUGCCCCGACCGCCGAGGGAGAGGCAGUAAAUCACCUCCCAUUGACCGAGGAGUGCUUUCGUUCCGAGCAGAGUGCACUUUGCAUGCAUUUUGCAUGCGCUUCCAGCGCACUUUAAAUUAAUGCACUCUCGACUCAAAGCCUCUGCUAAUUCACAUUUCCCUGCACGAGCGUUCCCCUGUAGAUGUGUUCCCGACCCAAAGCCCUUUGCAGAUGGGCGGGGAGCCUCCACGUUGUCUUCCACCCUCAACCCGGGGCUAAAUUAACUGAGCUAAUCGCCCUUACGGCCACGCGUGGGGUGCGGGGGACGCAGCGAACACAUCCUGCCACGCUGCUCCAUCCCGAUGCUCGCCCUAUAGCGCCCUGCCUGCGGGCUGUGGGGCAGCUCUGGGCUCUGCCCUCCGCCUCCCAGAGGGAAAUAAUUCAUCUCGCUGCCCUCCUGCUGACUCUCUCCUGCAUUGAUCCGCUGCCAAUUGGCUGCUCUGCGAGAGGAGCGAGGGUGGAGGCUGCAGGAUUCACUGCCGAUGUUGUAAGGACAAAGUCAAGGGGACGCGCUCUUCUCAGAAACGCAUCCAGGCUGAUUUUGGGAAGAGGGGACGUUUGGGGUCCGGCUGCUGCGUGAUCCCACGUGGGCGAUGCUCUUGGUGUGGGAUGCAUUGGGCCCUCCUCUCGACCCCCCUUUACACGAGCAGCGUUGCGAAGGCUGGGAGGUGAUGAUGGUCCUGUCCUCAUUUUGAACCAAAGGGGUGAGACGUAAUGGCACUCAUUAGCUGUGUGCACUUUCCAUCUGCACAGCGUUGGUCAUUCAGGAGACGUGCCUAAAUAAGGAGCUCUGUGCCCCAAAUUCUCUGCACUCAAUGAAGAGAAAUCAGCACCUUCGGGUCUACGCUGCGGUACUAAUUGCGAACCCCCCAUGAAUCCCCCACUGAGGAGAGAGGAACCUUCAGAGCAGUGCCCCAAAUGUGUCUCCUCUCUUGGAAUGGAUCAUUGGACUCAACCCAAGGGUGGUUUGUUGGCAGAGCUGGAGGGCUGCUGCCCUGUGACGGUGGAAUGGAGCAGUUUGACUCAACCCAAUUGGUUGGCAAAGCCAGAAGGACGUCGUCCUUCUAUACUGGAAUGGAAAGUGGGACUCAACCCAAUGCUGAUUGGCUGGCAAGACCAGAUGGGUUCUGCCCUUUGAUACUGGAGUGGAAAGUGGGACUCAACCCAAUGCCAGCUGGUUGGCAAGGUCAGAUGGAUGCUGCCCUUCGACAACGCAAUGGAACAGUUUGACUCAACCCAAUGCGUAUUGGUUGGCAAGAUCGGAUGGAUGCUGCCUUCAAUACUGGAAUGGAACAUGGGACUCAACCCAACACUGGUUUGCUAGAAAAAUGAACAGACGCUGCCCUUUGGGAAAGCAGUUGAAGCUCAUCUGUAGCAUUCCCUGGGAAAUGAGGGAGCUCGUGGUGCUGGCGCAGGUCAUGGGGUGGAUGGCUCUGGUUGCUGCCGUGCCAUAAAUCCUGGCCAGGCGAGCCUGGCGGCACCGAGAGGUACCCACAAAGGGACAUCCAUCAACGUUAACCCAAAUCAACCUUUAAAAUGGAUUAGCCAGAGCACAUAAAACCCCAUUCUGGACACUUACCCAGAAUUAGAGUUGGUUUAAUUCACUUGAGCUUAAUUCGCAAAGCUAAACCGAAUUAAGGCUGGCUGCGUUUGGAACGAGCAGCUCCACGCGUGGAGUUUAAUGUGAUUUACAUCGCCUGCUCUCCAUCCACACCUCUGGGUGAUCUAUGUGCCACCGGGGAGCAGAGCUGGCAGGGAAUGCAGGGUAAGAAUUACGGCUCCCGGCCGCGCUCGGCCGCUCCAGGAUGCUCAGCUGCCAACCUGAGUUGUGGCCGCGCCGAGGGCUCCGGUGCCACAUCCAGCAGUGAUGUGAGGGCGGAUGAUGUGCAAGGACAGGGCUGGGGGAGAGGGCUGGG
rnacentral:lncRNA from 7 species